GACGAACGCUGGCGGCGUGCUUAACACAUGCAAGUCGAACGGAAAGGCCCUGCUUUUGUGGGGUGCUCGAGUGGCGAACGGGUGAGUAACACGUGAGUAACCUGCCCUUGACUUUGGGAUAACUUCAGGAAACUGGGGCUAAUACCGGAUAGGAGCUCCUGCUGCAUGGUGGGGGUUGGAAAGUUUCGGCGGUUGGGGAUGGACUCGCGGCUUAUGAGCUUGUUGGUGGGGUAGUGGCUUACCAAGGCUUUGACGGGUAGCCGGCCUGAGAGGGUGACCGGCCACAUUGGGACUGAGGUACGGCCCAGACUCCUACGGGAGGCAGCAGGGGGGAAUAUUGCACAAUGGGCGGAAGCCUGAUGCAGCAACGCCGCGUGCGGGAUGACGGGCUUCGGGGUGUAAACCGCUUUCGCCUGUGACGAAGCGUGAGUGACGGUAAUGGGUAAAGAAGCACCGGCUAACUACGUG
rnacentral:rRNA from 1 species